rnacentral:lncRNA from 1 species
UACGUAUUUGCUUGACCAGGUAGCCGUCGCACGGUAUUAGUCAACAGCGACAAGUGAUCUUCACUCUUGGCUUAAGUCCUCUCCAAACCAACGCCAAAUUUGGUGCACAUAAGGGCGGCUGUGAUGUCACGCAUCAUGCCUAAACCUAGGGAACACAACAGAUGUUGUGCAUCUCCGGAAGAGACUGGAAUGUCAGAUGAAGAAUCUUUUGAGCCAGUGUAAGAGAAAGACAAAGGAGAUGGUCUCAAUGCCAGCGGUUGUCGUCCUCCGUAAAUGGCUGUGCAGCUUUCGAGAAACGAAAGAUGCCAUUCAUGUUUUUUUGUUCGAGGCAAAAGGGCUUGGAAUUCCAGACAUGACUUUUGGAACACAUUUACUUCAAUAUAAUGGCAAUGAUUUCUUUGAAAAGUUUCUGCAAGCUCAAACAUCCCUCAACGCGGUUUUUAAGACCGUUUUCCACUUUCUCCCCAGCCAAGUGCUGUACAGCUUCAAAAACUUUUUAUGUGCACGAAAUGGUAGCUCAUAACAUUUUGAAAUUUUUGGAAAUUCAAUCUUUCCUUCUCCUCUUGCGUCCUUUCUUUCUCUCAACUUUAUCUUCCAUUUUCUGCCUUUCCCUCGUUUUCUUUGUAUUUAAUUGCCCUCCCGGGUCCACGAAGUCUAUCGCUAAUCGUAAGUGGGUUUCGAAUCACCCAUUGCUUUCUUGUCAGUUCUUCUUUUUUUUUUAAUUCUACUUGUUUGUCUGUUAUUCAGUCUACCAGUCUCAUUUUAUUUUAGAUAGGGAUGAAAUUAAUGGUGAUGGGUGAUGUGGUGAUGGUGACGAUAAUUCAUGUGACAGAUUGCCGAUGGAUAAAUAGUUUAAGGAAAACGGUGAAUUCUCUUGAAUGAAAUGCAGGAUGAUCAGGGAUGGUAAUGGAUAGUUUGAGUGUUAGUGUAUGGUUGAGAUAUGCGCACAUGAUUGGGAGUAAUAUGGAUGAUCAAGGUGAUAAUGGAUGAUUAGAAUGAUAAUGGAUGACUGGUGGGGGAUAAUGGAUAAUAGGGGUUAUAAUGGAUGAUCGGAAUGAAAAUGGAUUACAGGUAUUGGGUAAAAAUGAAUGAUCGGGAGUGAUAAUGGAUAGUUUGAGUGUUAGUGUAUGGUUGAGAUAUGCGCACAUGAUUGGGAGUAAUAUGGAUGAUCAAGGUGAUAAUGGAUGAUUAGAAUGAUAAUGGAUGACUGUUGGGGGAUACUGGAUAAUAGGGGUUAUAAUGGAUGAUCGGAAUGAAAAUGGAUUACAGGUAUUGGGUGAAAAUGAAUGAUCGGGAGUGAUAAUGGAUGGUCAUAUAUUGUGAUUUUGCGCUCCGGAAUGACAGUUGAUGAGCGUGGAUGAUUAUGAACGAUCAGGAGUGAUAACGGACGAGAAGGGAUUAUGUUUGAUAUUAUGAGGUAUUAAUGGAUGACCAGGCAGUAGUGGAUGAUCGAGCUGAUUAUGGAUUAUCAAGGUGAUAAUGGAUUACAUGUAUUGGAAUGAUAAUGGAUGAUCUGAGGCCACACAGGAUGAUUACAAAGAUUAGAGUGAUGAUGGAUUAUUGGGAGUGACAAGGGAUGGUCAGGCUAAUGGGUGAUCGGGCUGAUAAUGGAUGAUCAGGUGAUAAUGGAUGGUCAGGUGAUAAUGGAUGAUCAGGUGACAAUGGAUGGUCAGGUGAUAAUGGAUGGUCAGGUGGUGUGAAGAAUAAUCAGCUUCAGAAUGACAGCGAAUGAUUACUGGUGGUAAAGAACGAUAAAACGAAAGAAUGAUAGUCAAUGAUAAGCGAUGAUGGGCGACAAGGGAUGAUAACGGAGGAAUGAAAUAAUUAUUGAUUAUUCGGGUGAGAACAAGUUGCACGUAUCAGGGAGGAUUAUGGAUGAAGGAACCAUAAUGGAUGGCAGAUGCUAUGGAUGGUUGCCAUGGAUGAUUAAGAGAUAUAAUAGAGAAGAGAAAGAACUAAUAACAGAUGAUGAAGACACCGGAAGUGGUGAGAUCUGAUUAGGGGUGAGUAAAGGGUGUGUAUGAGUGGUGACAGGUAAUGAGUUGGAUGUUUAAUGAAGAGUGAUGGAUGCCUCGGAUAAGGAAUGACACGAGGUGAGAAUGGAACACCGGUAAAGGUCACUGUUUGCAGUGAUAGAAUAGUGAUGUUAAUGGUAACACUGUCCAUUUUUGUUCCUUGUUAAGCCUCUACUUUUCCACUCCGUUCUUAAUUUUUCCUCUUUGAACAUUCUCAUCACUCCUUCAUUUUCCUCAAUCCUUUAUCCGGACCUGGACCUGCUUCGGCUUGCUCAACAAGCUUGCUGUAGAAUUUUGAGCACCAAAGAAGUACGUGUACUUACUCUGUACUUGUGUGUACAUGUAAUUGAAUUCUGCCUUUAAAUAAAGUCAUAGUUGCAAUCACAAGCUUAAAAAUUAGCUGUGCCUUCAUCCGAAGACAUUGCUGUUCAAUCAGAACUCUCAUUAUUGUAUACCGCAUCCAGUCUACUCUACCCAAGAAUUUAUAUAUUCUAAUUGGCCAAAUAAAGUUCCAUUUUCUAACGUGGACCCAAGGAACAACCCACAGCAUUUCCCCUGUAUAAACCUAGAUUUUUCUCUGUAAACAUCACGGGAGAAAUGUGAAUCUCGAAGUAUCACUAAUGUUUAAAAAAAAAAAAAGAAGUAUUUUAUCGAAACAACAAAUUCUAAGGUUAGAAGAUCCCACCUUUUCACCUGUUUCAUAAUUACAAUCCUAAAUUCACUUGGAAUCAGUUGUGAAUCACAGUGGACCUCCAACCACAAAUUUUGGUUCAGGUGCAAACAAGUAUCUUUUUAAAAUCGGAUUGUACGCGUCAUCUAAAGGCAAGACUUGUCCAAGUGUGGUCAUAAUGAAUGAUUUUUCUGCACCUCAGUCAAAAAGUCAUUUUUUAACGAAAACAACUGUUCGUUUCCUUUAAAGCUUAUGUAAGCCUGAGAAACCUUCAACCCAAGCCCUUUCACUUCGAUUCCUCUUAAGAAUACCGACACUGGCUUUUAGCACAUAAGAUGUGAAUGGUUUGCAUUGGAUGAGAAAAGCAGUGAAAUAUAAAGAUGGAUAUAAAUUUUGUGACAGUUUUAAGAAUGUUCGCCGAUAGGUAGAG